CAAACGCUGCUAUAGAUCAGGGUCUUUAGCGGCGCUUUUUUACAAAUGCCGCUAUAGAUCAGGGUCUUUAGCAGCGCUUC
rnacentral:pre_miRNA from 1 species